rnacentral:rRNA from 1 species
UACGGGGGGUGCGAGCGUUGUCCGGAAUCACUGGGCGUAAAGGGCGCGUAGGUGGCCUGAUAAGGGUGUGGUGAAAGUCCGGGGCUCAGCCCCGGAUCUGCCGUGCCGACUGUUAGGCUAGAGUACUGUAGGGGCAGGCGGAAUUCCGGGUGUAGCGGUGGAAUGCGUAGAGAUCCGGAGGAAGACCGGUGGCGAAGGCGGCCUGCUGGGCAGUUACUGACACUGAGGCGCGACAGCGUGGGGAGCAAACAGG